ACGAACGCUGGCGGCACGCUUAACACAUGCAAGUCGAACGAGAGAAGAGGAGCUUGCUUUUCUGAUCUAGUGGCGGACGGGUGAGUAACACGUGAGCAAUCUGCCUUUCAGAGGGGGAUACCGAUUGGAAACGAUCGUUAAUACCGCAUAACAUAAUUGAACCGCAUGAUUUGAUUAUCAAAGAUUUAUCGCUGAAAGAUGAGCUCGCGUCUGAUUAGCUAGUUGGUAAGGUAACGGCUUACCAAGGCGACGAUCAGUAGCCGGACUGAGAGGUUGAUCGGCCACAUUGGGACUGAGACACGGCCCAGACUCCUACGGGAGGCAGCAGUGGGGAAUAUUGCACAAUGGAGGAAACUCUGAUGCAGCGAUGCCGCGUGAGGGAAGAAGGUUUUAGGAUUGUAAACCUCUGUCUUCAGGGACGAAAAAUGACGGUACCUGAGGAGGAAGCUCCGGCUAACUACGUGCCAGCAGCCGCGGUAAUACGUAGGGAGCGAGCGUUGUCCGGAAUUACUGGGUGUAAAGGGAGCGUAGGCGGGAUCGCAAGUCAGAUGUGAAAACUAUGGGCUUAACCCAUAAACUGCAUUUGAAACUGUGGUUCUUGAGUGAAGUAGAGGUAAGCGGAAUUCCUAGUGUAGCGGUGAAAUGCGUAGAUAUUAGGAGGAACAUCACUGGCGAAGGCGGGUUACUGGGCUUUAACUGGCGCUGAGGCAAGAAAGCGAGGGCAGCGAACAGGAUUAGAUACCCUGGUAGUCCACGCCGUAAACGAUGAUUACUAGGUGUGGGGGGACUGACCCCUUCCGUGCCGCAGCAAACGCAAUAAGUAAUCCACCUGGGGAGUACGACCGCAAGGUUGAAACUCAAAGGAAUUGACGGGGGCCCGCACAAGCAGUGGAGUAUGUGGAUUAAUUCGAAGCAACGCGAAGAACCUUACCAGGUCUUGACAUCGUAUGCAUAGCUCAGAGAUGAGUGAAAUCUCUUCGGAGACAUAUAGACAGGUGGUGCAUGGUUGUCGUCAGCUCGUGUCGUGAGAUGUUGGGUUAAGUCCCGCAACGAGCGCAACCCUUACUGUUAGUUGCUACGCAAGAGCACUCUAGCAGGACUGCCGUUGACAAAACGGAGGAAGGUGGGGAUGACGUCAAAUCAUCAUGCCCCUUAUGACCUGGGCCUCACACGUACUACAAUGGCUGUCAACAGAGGGAAGCAAAGCCGCGAGGUGGAGCAAACCCCUAAAAGCAGUCUUAGUUCGGAUUGUAGGCUGCAACCCGCCUACAUGAAGUCGGAAUUGCUAGUAAUCGCAGAUCAGCAUGCUGCGGUGAAUACGUUCCCGGGCCUUGUACACACCGCCCGUCACGCCAUGGGAGUCGGUAACACCCGAAGCCUGUAGUCUAACCGCAAGGAGGACGCAGUCGAAGGUGGGAUUGAUGACUGGGGUG
rnacentral:rRNA from 1 species